AGUGAACGCUGGCGGUAGGCCUAACACAUGCAAGUCGAACGGCAGCACAGUAAGAGCUUGCUCUUACGGGUGGCGAGUGGCGGACGGGUGAGGAAUACAUCGGAAUCUACUUUUUCGUGGGGGAUAACGUAGGGAAACUUACGCUAAUACCGCAUACGACCUACGGGUGAAAGCAGGGGAUCUUCGGACCUUGCGCGAUUGAAUGAGCCGAUGUCGGAUUAGCUAGUUGGCGGGGUAAAGGCCCACCAAGGCGACGAUCCGUAGCUGGUCUGAGAGGAUGAUCAGCCACACUGGAACUGGGACACGGUCCAGACUCCUACGGGAGGCAGCAGUGGGGAAUAUUGGACAAUGGGCGCAAGCCUGAUCCAACCAUACCGCGUGGGUGAAGAAGGCCUUCGGGUUGUAAAGCCCUUUUGUUGGGAAAGAAAAGCAGCAGGUUAAUACCCCGCUGUUCUGACGGUACCCAAAGAAUAAGCACCGGCUAACUUCGUG
rnacentral:rRNA from 1 species